UUGAACGCUGGCGGCAGGCCUAACACAUGCAAGUCGAGCGGCAGCGCGGGGCAACCUGGCGGCGAGCGGCGAACGGGUGAGUAACGCGUAGGAAUCUACCCAGUAGCGGGGGAUAGCCCGGGGAAACUCGGAUUAAUACCGCAUACGCCCUAAGGGGGAAAGCAGGGGAUCUUCGAACCUUGCACUAUUGGAAGAGCCUGCGUUGGAUUAGCUAGUUGGUAGGGUAAAGGCCUACCAAGGCGACGAUCCAUAACUGGUCUGAGAGGAUGAUCAGUCACACCGGAACUGAGACACGGUCCGGACUCCUACGGGAGGCAGCAGUGGGGAAUAUUGGACAAUGGGGGCAACCCUGAUCCAGCCAUGCCGCGUGUGUGAAGAAGGCCUUCGGGUUGUAAAGCACUUUAAGUGGGGAGAAAGGCUCCAAAGUUAAUACCUUUGGGGAUUGAUGCUACCCACAGAAUAAGCACCGGCUAACUCUGUGCCAGCAGCCGCCGUAAUAC
rnacentral:rRNA from 1 species